rnacentral:rRNA from 1 species
CGAAAGCCUGACGGAGCAAUACCGCGUGAGGGAUGAAGUAUCUUGGUAUGUAAACCUCUUUUCUCAAGAAAGAAGUUCUGACGGUACUUGAGGAAUAAGCAUCGGCUAACUCCGUGCCAGCAGCCGCGGUAAUACGGGGGAUGCAAGCGUUAUUCGGAAUUAUUGGGCGUAAAGCGCCUGUAGGUUGUUUAGUAAGUCCGUUGUUAAAUACUAGGGCUUAACCCUGGGAAAGCAAUAGAAACUACUAGACUUGAGUAUGGCAGGGGUAGAGGGAAUUUCUAGUGUAGCGGUGAAAUGCGUAGA